GAUGAACGCUGGCGGCGUGCCUAAUACAUGCAAGUCGAGCGAACGGACGAGAAGCUUGCUUCUCUGAUGUUAGCGGCGGACGGGUGAGUAACACGUGGAUAACCUACCUAUAAGACUGGGAUAACUUCGGGAAACCGGAGCUAAUACCGGAUAAUAUUUUGAACCGCAUGGUUCAAAAGUGAAAGACGGUCUUGCUGUCACUUAUAGAUGGAUCCGCGCUGCAUUAGCUAGUUGGUAAGGUAACGGCUUACCAAGGCAACGAUGCAUAGCCGACCUGAGAGGGUGAUCGGCCACACUGGAACGGAGACACGGUCCAGACUCCUACGGGAGGCAGCAGUAGGGAAUCUUCCGCAAUGGGCGAAAGCCUGACGGAGCAACGCCGCGUGAGUGAUGAAGGUCUUCGGAUCGUAAAACUCUGUUAUUAGGGAAGAACAUAUGUGUAAGUAACUGUGCACAUCUUGACGGUACCUAAUCAGAAAGCCACGGCUAACUACGUGCCAGCAGCCGCGGUAAUACGUAGGUGGCAAGCGUUAUCCGGAAUUAUUGGGCGUAAAGCGCGCGUAGGCGGUUUUUUAAGUCUGAUGUGAAAGCCCACGGCUCAACCGUGGAGGGUCAUUGGAAACUGGAAAACUUGAGUGCAGAAGAGGAAAGUGGGAUUCCAUGUGUAGCGGUGAAAUGCGCAGAGAUAUGGAGGAACACCAGUGGCGAAGGCGACUUUCUGGUCUGUAACUGACGCUGAUGUGCGAAAGCGUGGGGAUCAAACAGGAUUAGAUACCCUGGUAGUCCACGCCGUAAACGAUGAGUGCUAAGUGUUAGGGGGUUUCCGCCCCUUAGUGCUGCAGCUAACGCAUUAAGCACUCCGCCUGGGGAGUACGACCGCAAGGUUGAAACUCAAAGGAAUUGACGGGGACCCGCACAAGCGGUGGAGCAUGUGGUUUAAUUCGAAGCAACGCGAAGAACCUUACCAAAUCUUGACAUCCUUUGACAACUCUAGAGAUAGAGCCUUCCCCUUCGGGGGACAAAGUGACAGGUGGUGCAUGGUUGUCGUCAGCUCGUGUCGUGAGAUGUUGGGUUAAGUCCCGCAACGAGCGCAACCCUUAAGCUUAGUUGCCAUCAUUAAGUUGGGCACUCUAAGUUGACUGCCGGUGACAAACCGGAGGAAGGUGGGGAUGACGUCAAAUCAUCAUGCCCCUUAUGAUUUGGGCUACACACGUGCUACAAUGGACAAUACAAAGGGCAGCGAAACCGCGAGGUCAAGCAAAUCCCAUAAAGUUGUUCUCAGUUCGGAUUGUAGUCUGCAACUCGACUACAUGAAGCUGGAAUCGCUAGUAAUCGUAGAUCAGCAUGCUACGGUGAAUACGUUCCCGGGUCU
rnacentral:rRNA from 1 species